rnacentral:RNase_P_RNA from 1 species
GAAAGCAGCUGAACGGUCGCGGGCAGAGAUGCCUGAGGAAAGUCCGGGCACUAGAGGGCAGACCGCCGGAUAACGUCCGGUGCAGGUGACUGUGAGGAUAGUGCCACAGAAAUGAUGACCGCCGAUGGAGCGUUUGCUUACAGGUAAGGGUGCAACGGUGGUGUAAGAGACCACCGGCGAUAUCGAGAGGUAUCGGCCAGGUAAACCCCGGUUUAGUGCAAGGUUGACAGAAAAGCUAAGGUGACCCGCCGUUUUUCGAAAAACCGCUUGAGGCAGCCGGCAACGGCUGUUCGAGAUAGAUGACCGUUUAAAACAGAACCCGGCUUACCGGCUGCUUUCUCUU